rnacentral:rRNA from 1 species
AUGGAGGUUCAACUUUCUGACCAACCGGAUAAAUUACGCUGGAAGUUGACUACGUCUGGGGUAUUUACAUUCAGGUCUAUGUAUACUGAUGUUAUUAAUACAAGCUCCAUUCCAACUUCCAAGAGUGUCUGGGAUGUCAAAGUACCUUUGAAAAUAAAAGUGUUUAUGUGGUUUGUUCAUAAACAAGUUAUUCUAACAAAGGACAACUUAAUAAAGCGUAAUUGGACAGGACCUACUAGGUGUAGUUUCUGUGAUCGAGAUGAGACAAUUAAACAUCUCUUUUUUGAUUGCCCGCUGGCCAAGGUUCUCUGGCAGACGGUCCACAUUGCUUUUAAUAUAACUCCACCGAAUACUGUUAAUGCUUUAUUUGGGAAUUGGCUAUAUGGGUUUGACUCUACAAUAGCAAGACAUAUUCGGGUUGGAGUCUGCGCUUUAAUAUGGACCAUCUGGCUGUGCAGAAAUGAUUUGGUUUUUAACAGAUCAUCACGAAUUCAUUUUUUGCAGGUUAUCUUCCGAGCUACGGCGCUGAUCCGUUCAUGGUCAUUACUCACUCCGAUGGAGGCCAGGGAGCAUUUGGUUACUGGGUCUACCCGGUGGGAGAUGGUUGCUCGGGAUAUCUUCAACCGGUUUGGAUGGCGGUCAUGUAAUAGGAUAGGCAAUUAG